GAUGAAUGCUGGCGGCGUGCCUAAUACAUGCAAGUCGAGCGAAUGGAUUAAGAGCUUGCUCUUAUGAAGUUAGCGGCGGACGGGUGAGUAACACGUGGGUAACCUGCCCAUAAGACUGGGAUAACUCCGGGAAACCGGGGCUAAUACCGGAUAACAUUUUGAACCGCAUGGUUCGAAAUUGAAAGGCGGCUUCGGCUGUCACUUAUGGAUGGACCCGCGUCGCAUUAGCUAGUUGGUGAGGUAACGGCUCACCAAGGCAACGAUGCGUAGCCGACCGGAGAGGGGGGUCGGCCACGCUGGGACUGAGACACGGCCCAGACUCCUACGGGAGGCAGCAGUAGGGAAUCUUCCGCAAUGGACGAAAGUCUGACGGAGCAACGCCGCGUGAGUGAUGAAGGCUUUCGGGUCGUAAAACUCUGUUGUUAGGGAAGAACAAGUGCUAGUUGAAUAAGCUGGCACCUUGACGGUACCUAACCAGAAAGCCACGGCUAACUACGUGCCAGCCGCCGCGGUAA
rnacentral:rRNA from 1 species